AUAAUCCGGCGUGAUGGAGGUAAGACCUCUGUCAUAUCUGAGCUCUUCGUUCAAAAUUCCCGCAGAUGGGCCCGUGGAUGGCGCCUGUGCCUGAUUCACGUAGUACAAGCAUAGCAGCAAAGUGAGAAGGACCGCGCAGACGACGAAAACGCGGCUUGAACCGCGUCGAAGGAUCUUGUACAUGGUACGAAAGUUGGAUUCGCUUCGGGGCGGGCGUUCCUCGAUUUCGAUUCACCUGGUGCCGCGAUAUUGGCUCGAUCCCGUGUCGGUUAUGCUCGACAAUCGCUCCCCGACUUUGCCGCUGUCGCCUGUCGACUUCAUGAGAUACUUUGGCGCCGACACGAUCUGAAAGAAGAGAAGUUAAACGAAAUUAACAGACUUUGGAUGUAAAGUACGUAAAAUAUGUUAAAAUAUACGAUCUUAUCGACAUAUAUUUAACGAUUUAAAGUUUAAAAUCAUCAAUUUUUUUCUUCGAAAAAGUAUACGAAUCUAAAAGUUAGGUUAGAAUUUUACUUCGAAACAUUCUUUCGUGAAAAAUCCAUUGAUAAGUAUCGAUUACAGACGAUUUAUCGGACACAGUCGCCCCGAUAUAUUAUUGCGAGGAAUAUCGAGACUCGAGGAGCGAGAUCGAAUAGUAUUGAAUAAAAGAAGAGGACGAGAGGCACGAUUAAAAAAGAAUUCGGCUAACCAGAACCAUUUGAAAAAUUCAAAGGAUGAAAAUUAUUGUUGGGGAUAGAGAAGGAUUGGAGAAAUCGUAAAAAUUUUAAGAACACGUGUAUCCAAAUUGAAAUAAGCGAGAGGAAUUAUAGGACGAGGAAGGAGCGAUCCAAUUCCGAUGAGAACAAUAAAUACGACCUGGUGAACCAGAGACACGGUUUCCCAGAAACCUUCUGUCUCUCGACGUAAGGUCGGUUCGCACGCGAUAAUCGAUCGUACCUGUCACCACCGACCCUGGCUGAAGAACGAGCCGCGAUUUACACAUUGAAAACUCGAAUAUCGAUUUACCUUUCGUUCGAGUUAUAUUGAAAUUACAAUCGUUAAAAGACAGAUAAUGAUAGAUAAAUUCGCGAUCCAAUUUCUUCUCAUAAUUUUGUACAUUCAUUUUUUCUUUAUAAAUCUAAUAAUUAUUUAGCUUUUAAAUGAGUAUAACAUGUUAUAUUAUAUUAAAUUGAUGAUAAUUUUGUACGUUUCUUUUUUUAAAUUCCAAUAAUUUGUUUAUAUAUUUAUACACACACCAUUUUUAAAUAAUUUGUUCGUAAAUCUAAUAUUUUUAAUAAUAUCAUCAAUAUUAUCUUCCAUUGUAAUUUCAAUCCAACCCGAAAUUAAUACGAAUCCAGGAAGCCAACCGUUUUUAUUAAAACUCAAAUUUAAUCCAAGAAUUUGAAUAAACGUAACCAAAUAUUUUUCUUAAA